rnacentral:rRNA from 1 species
CCAGACUCCUACGGGAGGCAGCAGUAGGGAAUCUUCGGCAAUGGACGAAAGUCUGACCGAGCAACGCCGCGUGAGUGAAGAAGGCUUUCGGAUCGUAAGACUCUGUUGGUAGAGAAGAACGUUGGUGAGAGUGGAAAGCUCAUCAAGUGACGGUAACUACCCAGAAAGGGACGGCUAACUACGUGCCAGCAGCCGCGGUAAUACGUAGGUCCCGAGCGUUGUCCGGAUUUAUUGGGCGUAAAGCGAGCGCAGGUGGUUUAUUAAGUCUGGUGUAAAAGGCAGUGGCUCAACCAUUGUAUGCAUUGGAAACUGGUAGACUUGAGUGCAGGAGAGGAGAGUGGAAUUCCAUGUGUAGCGGUGAAGUGCGUAGAUAUAUGGAGGAACACCGGUGGCGAAAGCGGCUCUCUGGCCUGUAACUGACACUGAGGCUCGAAAGCGUGGGGAGCAAACAGGAUUAGAUACCCUGGUGGUCCACGCCGUAAACGAUGAGUGCUAGAUGUAGGGAGCUAUAAGUUCUCUGUAUCGCAGCUAACGCAAUAAGCACUCCGCCUGGGGAGUACGACCGCAAGGUUGAAACUCAAAGGA